UCAUAACAAUAAGCUGAACAUAUACAUUGAGUGGUGAAUAUCUUGAUCGACUUUUUAUAUAAAUAAGAAUUUGUUUAUCUUCGAAGAAAUUUACUCCUAACAUACUGCUAAGUUAUCGUACGUACAAUUCGAAUGUGAAACAAUAUAAAAGCUACCAGUCAGUUUACAUAAGAGCAAUCAUAUCUUUUUACCUGUUACAAUAUGUUCAUAUUAUGUAUUAUUUCUUCGCGUAAUCACAAACUAAAUGUUAACAUGACUUAAAACAUCGAUGUGC